UACGGGGGGAGCAAGCGUUGUUCGGAUUUACUGGGCGUAAAGGGCGCGUAGGCGGUCAGCACAAGUCAGUUGUGAAAUCUCCGGGCUUAACUCGGAACGGCCAAGUGAAACUGUCAAGCUAGAGUGCAGAAGGGGCAAUCGGAAUUCUUGGUGUAGCGGUGAAAUGCGUAGAUAUCAAGAGGAACACCUGAGGUGAAGACGGGUUGCUGGGCUGACACUGACGCUGAGGCGCGAAAGCCAGGGGAGCAAACGGG
rnacentral:rRNA from 1 species